UACAGAGGUCCCGAGCGUUGUUCGGAUUUAUUGGGCGUAAAGGGUGCGUAGGCGGCGGAGUAAGUUGGGUGUGAAAUCCCGAGGCUCAACCUCGGAAUUGCAUUCAAUACUGCUUCGCUCGAGUACUGGAGAGGAGGCUUGAAUUUACGGUGUAGCAGUGAAAUGCGUAGAUAUCGUAAGGAAGGCCGGUGGCGAAAGCGAGCCUCUGGACAGUUACUGACGCUGAUGCACGAAGGCCAGGGGAGCAAACGGG
rnacentral:rRNA from 1 species